UUACAGAGGCUGAUUGCCAGGGAAAGAACCCGUGCUGUGUAGAGGGACAGUCUACAGAGAGCUGGGAGUCAGGGUUAGAAGAGCUGGGUAUGGAGAGAGUGAGAGACACUAAGAACAGGACUUGUUGUGUGAAUUUGCUGUUAGUCUUGGGGGGAGACCUAAUAAUCCAGUGACUGUGGUGGUCUGAGAGACCAGUAAUCUCAAUGAUUACAUCACAAACCUCAGGAGAGUUAUCUCCCAGAGCAGUGUCUCCCUCCCACCACCCACCCCAGGACACAAACAUCCCCUUGUGAUGCAAAAAGGGGGCUUGGUUAGGAGUGGCAUAUUAGCAGUAACCAGGCCAAGGAUGGGUAUUCUAAUAUAUGGGAAUCUAUUGAUGCUCAACAUAUCAUCUUCAAAGAGCUUAAGGGUCUGGUCCACCUGGGCCAUGAGAUAUUUUCCAAGGAGAGUUUUUUCUGCAUCUCUGCUUUCUAUUUUAAUGGAAAAGUGUGCCCUGUAAACUGAGGGGCGGAGAUUGUGAUAAAAGCCAAGGAAGAUAGGGAGAGGCAUAUCUAGCAGUCCUUUGCAAGAUUUCUAUUUGUAUUAUUUAAAAUUGAGAAGGUGAGAUUGUGUUUUCAAAAUGAUCUAUGGCAAGAAAGUCCUGUAGGGGAACCGGACAGGAGGCAGACAGGGCAGCAGUCAGGAGAAGCUGUAUGAAAAUCAUCUUUUGGGUAUUAGAGCUCAGGAGCAACAAGUCCAGGAAGCAAAAAGUCUGUAAGCCAUCACCUAAAUCUUGGCCCUGAAGCAAAGAACUUUGAGUCCCCACAAACUGCUUCUGUAAGGAGAGUACAGGGACACAAUCAUGCAAGUAAUAACAAUAUUUACUGACUGAAUAUUAAGAAUUUACAGGCAUCAGCUACUUAAAUACCCCUCAAGUAUUACAAUUUGACCCUACAUAGCUUUUC